rnacentral:rRNA from 1 species
AUUGAACGCUGGCGGCAUGCUUUACACAUGCAAGUCGAACGGCAGCACGGGGGCAGCUCUGGUGGCGCGUGGCGAACGGGUGAGUAAUACAUCGGAACGUGCCCGGCCGUGGGGGAUAACGUAGCGAAAGAUACGCUAAUACCGCAUACGAUCUGAGGAUGAAAGCGGGGGACCUUCGGGCCUCGCGCGAUCGGAGCGGCCGAUGUCGGAUUAGGUAGUUGGUGGGGUAAAGGCUUACCAAGCCGACGAUCUGUAGCUGGUCUGAGAGGGCGACCAGCCACACUGGGACUGAGACACGGCCCAGACUCCUACGGGAGGCAGCAGUGGGGAAUUUUGGACAAUGGGCGCAAGCCUGAUCCAGCCAUGCCGCGUGCGGGACGAAGGCCUUCGGGUUGUAAACUGCUUUUGUGCGGAACGAAAAGGCUCUGGCUAAUACCUGGGGCUCGUGACGGUACCGGAAGAAUAAGCACCGGCUAACUACGUG